rnacentral:rRNA from 1 species
AGUGAACGUUGGCGGCGUGGAUUAGGCAUGCAAGUCGAGCGAGAACCGUAGCAAUACGGGGACAGCGGCGAAAGGGACAGUAAUGUGUAGGUACCUACCUCCGGGUUCGGGAUAGCUGCGGGAAACUGCAGGUAAUACCGAAUAACGUCUCCGGACCAAAGGUGUGAUUCCACCUGGAGAGGGGCCUGCAUCCUAUUAGCUUGUUGGCGGGGUAACGGCCCACCAAGGCGACGAUGGGUAGCGGGUGUGAGAGCACGACCCGCGUCAUUGGGACUGAGACACUGCCCAGACACCUCCGGGUGGCUGCAGUCGAGGAUCGUCGGCAAUGGGCGCAAGCCUGACCGAGCGACGCCGCGUGCGGGAUGAAGGCCUUCGGGUUGUAAACCGCUGUCGUAGAGGAGGAAGUGCAGGGGGGUUCUCCCCUCUGUUUGACCUAUUCUAGGAGGAAGGACGGGCUAACUUCGUGCCAGCAGCCGCGGUAA